rnacentral:rRNA from 1 species
UACGGGGGGGGGCAAGCGUUGUUCGGAAUUACUGGGCGUAAAGGGCUCGUAGGCGGCCAACUAAGUCGGAUGUGAAAUCCCUAGGCUUAACCUGGGAACUGCAUCCGAUACUGGAUGGCUUGAAUCCGGGAGAGGGAUGCAGAAUUCCAGGUGUAGCGGUGAAAUGCGUAGAUAUCUGGAGGAACACCGGUGGCGAAGGCGGCAUCCUGGACCGGUAUUGACGCUGAGGCGCGAAAGCUAGGGGAGCAAACGGG